rnacentral:rRNA from 1 species
AGUGAACGCUGGCGGUAGGCCUAACACAUGCAAGUCGAGCGGCAGCACAGUAAGAGCUUGCUCUUACGGGUGGCGAGUGGCGGACGGGUGAGGAAUACAUCGGAAUCUACUUUUUCGUGGGGGAUAACGUAGGGAAACUUACGCUAAUACCGCAUACGACCUACGGGUGAAAGCAGGGGAUCUUCGGACCUUGCGCGAUUGAAUGAGCCGAUGUCGGAUUAGCUAGUUGGCGGGGUAAAGGCCCACCAAGGCGACGAUCCGUAGCUGGUCUGAGAGGAUGAUCAGCCACACUGGAACUGAGACACGGUCCAGACUCCUACGGGAGGCAGCAGUGGGGAAUAUUGGACAAUGGGCGCAAGCCUGAUCCAGCCAUACCGCGUGGGUGAAGAAGGCCUUCGGGUUGUAAAGCCCUUUUGUUGGGAAAGAAAAGCGGCAGGUUAAUACCCCGCUGUUCUGACGGUACCCAAAGAAUAAGCACCGGCUAACUUCGUG